rnacentral:rRNA from 1 species
AUUGAACGCUGGCGGCAUGCUUUACACAUGCAAGUCGAACGGUAACAGGGAGCUUGCUCCGCUGACGAGUGGCGAACGGGUGAGUAAUGCAUCGGAACGUACCCAGUCGUGGGGGAUAACGUAGCGAAAGUUACGCUAAUACCGCAUACGUCCUGAGGGAGAAAGCGGGGGACCGUAAGGCCUCGCGCGAUUGGAGCGGCCGAUGUCGGAUUAGCUAGUUGGUAGGGUAAAGGCCUACCAAGGCGACGAUCCGUAGCGGGUCUGAGAGGAUGAUCCGCCACACUGGGACUGAGACACGGCCCAGACUCCUACGGGAGGCAGCAGUGGGGAAUUUUGGACAAUGGGCGAAAGCCUGAUCCAGCCAUGCCGCGUGAGUGAAGAAGGCCUCGGUUGUAAGCUCUUUCUAGCCGGAAAGAAAUACGCGCAGGAUAAUACUCUGCGUGGAUGACGGUACCGGAAGAAGAAGCACCGGCUAACUACGUG